rnacentral:pre_miRNA from 1 species
CGGAGAAGUAGACAUGGCGUGAUAUUGCUUCGGGUUCAUCAGCUCUGGUAGUUGACUGAUGAGCCGAAUCAAUAUCACUCUUGUAUACUUCUCU